rnacentral:rRNA from 1 species
AGCGUAGGCGGAUAGUUUAGUCAGAGGUGAAAGCCCAGGGCUCAACCUUGGAAAUGCCUUUGAUACUGGCUAUCUUGAGUAUGGGAGAGGUAAGCAGAAUUCCGAGUGUAGAGGUGAAAUUCGUAGAUAUUCGGAAGAACACCGGUGGCGAAGGCGGCUUACUGGCCCAUUACUGACGCUGAGGCUCGAAAGCGUGGGGAGCAAACA